rnacentral:tRNA from 2 species
AAAGAAAUAUUUAAAAAGAAAGCUUCUAACUUUCUUAAAAGCAGCUAUGUUUAU